rnacentral:rRNA from 1 species
AACGAACGCUGGCGGCAGGCUUAACACAUGCAAGUCGAACGCCCCGCAAGGGGAGUGGCAGACGGGUGAGUAACGCGUGGGAACGUGCCCUUCGCUUCGGAAUAGCCCCGGGAAACUGGGAGUAAUACCGAAUACGCCGUAUUGGGAAAGAUUUAUCGGCGAAGGAUCGGCCCGCGUUAGAUUAGCUAGUUGGCGGUGUAAUGGACCACCAAGGCGACGAUCUAUAGCUGGUCUGAGAGGAUGAUCAGCCACACUGGGACUGAGACACGGCCCAGACUCCUACGGGAGGCAGCAGUGGGGAAUCUUGGACAAUGGGCGCAAGCCUGAUCCAGCCAUGCCGCGUGAGUGAAGAAGGCCUUAGGGUUGUAAAACUCUUUCGCCGGAAAAGAUAAUGACGGUAUCCGGAGAAGAAGCCCCGGCUAACUUCGUGCCAGCCGCCGCGGUAAGAC